UCUGCAGUCGAGCGGAGAAAAGGUAGCUUGCUCCCGGAUGUUAGCGGCGGACGGGUGAGUAACACGUGGGUAACCUGCCUGUAAGACUGGGAUAACUCCGGGAAACCGGAGCUAAUACCGGAUAGUUCCUUGAACCGCAUGGUUCAAGGAUGAAAGACGGUUUCGGCUGUCACUUACAGAUGGACCCGCGGCGCAUUAGCUAGUUGGUGAGGUAACGGCUCACCAAGGCGACGAUGCGUAGCCGACCUGAGAGGGUGAUCGGCCACACUGGGACUGAGACACGGCCCAGACUCCUACGGGAGGCAGCAGUAGGGAAUCUUCCGCAAUGGACGAAAGUCUGACGGAGCAACGCCGCGUGAGUGAUGAAGGUUUUCGGAUCGUAAAGCUCUGUUGUUAGGGAAGAACAAGUGCAAGAGUAACUGCUUGCACCUUGACGGUACCUAACCAGAAAGCCACGGCUAACUACGUGCCAGCAGCCGCGGUAAUACGUAGGUGGCAAGCGUUGUCCGGAAUUAUUGGGCGUAAAGGGCUCGCAGGCGGUUUCUUAAGUCUGAUGUGAAAGCCCCCGGCUCAACCGGGGAGGGUCAUUGGAAACUGGGAAACUUGAGUGCAGAAGAGGAGAGUGGAAUUCCACGUGUAGCGGUGAAAUGCGUAGAGAUGUGGAGGAACACCAGUGGCGAUGGCGACUCUCUGGUCUGUAACUGACGCUGAGGAGCGAAUGCGUGGGGAGCGAACAGGAUUAAAUACCCUGGUAUUCCACGCCGUAAACAAUGAUGGCUAAGUGUUAGGGGAUUUCCGCCCCUAAGUGCGGCAGCUAACGCAUAAGGGACUCCGCCUGGGAAAUACGGUCGAAAGCUUGAAAUCCAAAGGAAUUGACGGGAGCCCGCACACGCGGUUGAACCUGUGUGUUAAAUCGAAGCAACUCGGGAACCUUACCCAGGGCUGGAACUCCUGUGAACCUUAGAGAUGGGGCU
rnacentral:rRNA from 1 species